CACAGCGUAGCUUAAUUACCAUAAAGCAUCUGGUCUACACCCAGAAGACUCCAAAAACAUGGACGCUUUGA